AAGUGGAGUAAAAUCAGUGUUGGACAAGGAAGAAGAAUUGAUUAUAGAGGACAUUAAGGAAAGAGUCGAUAAGGAAACGGCAAAAGUUAUGAGGAAAAAAAAAUGAGAUUGCUAAAGCUUCAAAGAUAUGAUGCCAAUUAUCGCUUUCUGUUCGAUUGCAUAGCUGAUUUAUUUGGCGGAUUUGUUAAAUCCGAUAAUCAAGGGGGAUUUACUGCUUGAAAAGACGGGAGUUUGUGAGGAAAAUGGAACGGGGUGGACAUACUGAUUUAUAGAAAGGAUUUUGGAUACAGUAGUUACUGAUAAGUUGAGUGAGGAUCAAUUGAUAAAGAGAGCAUUUUCUAUGGUGAUAUGGAGUUUGAUGACGCUGCUGGAAACUUUAGAAGGUGCUAUGAGGAGAUGGUUCAACAAAGUGAAGGAGAAACAGAUGAAGAGAUGGAUCAACAAAGUGAAAGAAGAAAUUAUUGAAAUGAUAGCUCCAAAGUGAAUACGACAUUACAGAGACGCUUCGUCAAAUUGAAGAAGAACGCAAAAAAGCGGAUUCAAAAUAUGUGGGAAACGGAUUACCAGGUUAUAGAGAGAAAUU
rnacentral:misc_RNA from 1 species